UGCUUAGACCUCCGCCCCUUUAUGACACUUAAUCAGACACUGAAAAAUACAUCCUCCGCAGCCAAUAUGACCCACCCGCUUAACUCCGAUGCAAACCCAGCAACAGGUCAAGGUCACGGCUAUGACAGCCAUGCAAAUGACAGCAGGUGGUCCAUCAGGCCAGCAGGCCGCCGCAUAUCUCCUUCACAUUGCAGAACAUCAGCUAUAAGAGCUGAGUGGGCAAGCCAAUGACAGGCUCCACUCAGAUAUACAUGGCCUAUAAGGCCAGGGGUCCCUCCCGGAGUCAAACUAUUGGCAUUGAGAUGCGAGACCAAGGGUACUGCAGUGCCAUCCGCCCCAAAGGUUGGGGGGAAGGCAGGAAUGAAUGUCUAUAUGCAUCCAGGUUCGGUUCACAAAAGCCUGGCCCUGCGAAAAAAUGAACCACUCACCUUGAGCAUGGUCCUGGCGCAAGGAUAUGCACAAAACAGGGUGAUGCACAGCAGGGUAUAGACCUCUACAUUCUCUCAUGCCUCGGCCUACAAGGUAGGCCCACUCCUAGGUGUCUAACAGCAACAAGGUCAUAGACACCUUGGAGGGACCCACAGACCAUCCUAUUUUAAUAAAUAAAAAAGGGGGAGAUGUGGGAAGCCGCCUGAGAUGGUGCCCAUUUCCUGCUUCCGGGUUCUUCCCGGCCUGAACAAGCCCGCCAAAUUGUCAUAUCUGCCCAGUUACCCGUGACGCUAGCCUAUCAGCUUGUUAGGCGCGCUUCUCUGUGAUUGGAUACUGCUUCCCCUUAUAAGAGGUUGUUCCUGCCCCCAACGGGCAGAAGAGGAACCAACGUUGAGGGUGGCGGACCUUGUUAGGUCCGGUUCGCUGUACGCAAUAAAGUUUGAGAGCUGA